CGUAAAAAAAGUCGAAGGCAGCAACUCAAAAAUAGAUGAAUGUUGGAAGGAAGAUGUAUAAGGCUGAGAGGAAAUAUCAUCUUGAGUUCAACAUUUGGUGUUUCUUCAGGUCACUUUAGCGUGCAUUUUCAGUACAUCUUCCAGUUCAGUGUGUAUUUUAAGAAGAAAAACCAAUAUUGGCGGCUGCACUGGAGCCGCGUGACUACUAUUGCUGAUAGGUUUGUGAACUAAUAAACAUUCUUUUUAUGUUCCUGUGAUGUUUCAUAUUUUUGUGAACUGGUAGUUGAUGCUCUUUGUGGACUGAUAGCUGAUACUUUUUGUUAACCGAUAAACUGAAUAAAUGAGAUGGAUGUAUUAUCAGGCCGCGAAAAUGAUGUAAAAAAUAUGUGCAGUUCAGCGGAUGAGUAUUAUGCAUGUCCUUCUAAUCUAAAGGUAGUGGCACCACUAAGAAAAACAAAAUAAUCAGUUUUUUGUAGCCACGGAGGGCAUUUGGCUCACUAAUCUUCCAUUGCUAGAGGUACUGCCUCUUGAGUUAAUUUAUGAAACUGAAAUCAUCCUUUUUAUGUUUUCGUGUUGUCAAAUAAAACCAAUUUUUUUGGACAUGCGGCGCUCAAGCCGUUCACCCUUACCACCACAAGCCGUUCACCUCCGCCACACGAGGCCGUGCGACGACGCAACUAUCAGAACGUUCACCUCUGCCAUAGGAGGCCGAUGCAACGCUAAGAAUGUUUUGUUCUUUUUCAGUACAUGUUUUGUGUGCUUUUUAGUACACCUACUUAACGAUUCUAUGUCCAAUUUCCCCUGUUUAAGUGUUCUUCCUAUAGCACAAUAGGAGUUGUGUGUUAUGCCUUAAUAAGCAUUUGAGAAAACCUUGUAUGGAUCGAAACUAGCAUAUGUUAUGUUCUAUUCUUGUAAAUGAAGCUCCACUUUUGUUUCGUUUGAGGUUACUUAACAUAAAAGUUAGUAUAUGUUCUAUUGUAAAAACAUAUCUAAAAUGUCAUGAUGCAUGCUAGCAGAAAUCUGAAAAUACACUCAGCUCAGUUCCUAUAUUUUAUUUCAGUUCAAUUUAGAACUAUUUGCAACUGUUCAGACUCGAGUGUUCCUAUAUUUUAUUUCAGUUCGAUUUAGAAGUAUUUACAACUGUUCACA